rnacentral:tRNA from 1 species
GCAGUGGUGGUUCAGUGGUUGAAUUCUUGCUUUUCAUGAAGGAGACCUGAGUUUGAUUCCCAGCUAAUGCA